UGGACGCCAGUCUGCAUGGAGCCGACCUUGAAAUACCACCCUUUAAUGUUUGAUGUUCUAACGUGGACCCGUUACCCGGGUUGCGGACAGUGUCUGGUGGGUAGUUUGACUGGGGCGGUCUCCUCCUAAAGAGUAACGGAGGAGCACGAAGGUUGGCUAAUCCUGGUCGGACAUCAGGAGGUUAGUGCAAUGGCAUAAGCCAGCUUGACUGCGAGCGUGACGGCGCGAGCAGGUGCGAAAGCAGGUCAUAGUGAUCCGGUGGUUCUGAAUGGAAGGGCCAUCGCUCAACGGAUAAAAGGUACUCCGGGGAUAACAGGCUGAUACCGCCCAAGAGUUCAUAUCGACGGCGGUGUUUGGCACCUCGAUGUCGGCUCAUCACAUCCUGGGGCUGAAGUAGGUCCCAAGGGUAUGGCUGUUCGCCAUUUAAAGUGGUACGCGAGCUGGGUUUAGAACGUCGUGAGACAGUUCGGUCCCUAUCUGCCGUGGGCGCUGGAGAACUGAGGGGGGCUGCUCCUAGUACGAGAGGACCGGAGUGGACGCAUCACUGGUGUUCGGGUUGUCAUGCCAAUGGCACUGCCCGGUAGCUAAAUGCGGAAGAGAUAAGUGCUGAAAGCAUCUAAGUACGAAACUUGCCCCGAGAUGAGUUCUCCCUG
rnacentral:rRNA from 1 species